GCCAGAAUCCUCACUAACCAAACUACCAAAACUUCUUCAGAUUUUUUAACUUUAUAUUAUUCUGCGUGCAUUACAUGCCCGGAAACCUUGCUUAUGUUAUUGUUGUCCAAGAGACCCUAAUCAGAUAUUAUUAUUACUUGAUCAUGUUUCCUCUUCCCUUUCAAAUUGCCAGCCAUGUUUCCAACUUUUAUAUUUGCUUCUGCAGCUUUCACGUCUAUUCAAGGCUAUAAAUUCACUUAUGUCCAACUCCGACCCAGACUUCUCUUCUAGAUUGUGAAGUUCAACUACCUUCACUGUGGCCCCAUCAGAUGUCUUAUCAAGG
rnacentral:misc_RNA from 1 species